rnacentral:rRNA from 1 species
GGCCCCCCCAACGGGGGGGCAAGUGGUUUUAUUUGGAGGAAACGGCGGAGGACCUUUCUCAUGGCCCCUUGAACAAGUUCGAAGGACCUGUGUCCGACGAGGAAGAGCGAUUGGAGCGCUUCUUCUUGGGAAGCUCUGAGACGACCAACGAGUGGUCGUCGUCGACUAGUGCGCGUGUGUUACACUUCGGUUGCUUAGAAGUAGUUGUUGGGUUAAGUCCCCGACAAGCAGAGGCCGCAACCUCCUCUCUUUAUUUGCAUGCACAGUUAUAUGUGUGAGCACUUUAAAGGGAAGGACCCCCGGGGAUCAAACCCGAGGAAGGUGGGGAUGACGUCAAGUCAUCAUGGCCCUUACGGCGCUGGGCUACACACGUGCUACAAUGGUCAGGUGACAAAGGGAAUGCAUAACGGGCGACCGCGUUAUGCACAAUCUCCAAGAAAGCCCGUAUUCCACAUUCCCGAGAUGUGGAUGUUGUCACAAUCUGAGGCCCUCACAGUGAAUGUGGAGAUACUGCGUCAUGAUGUAUAUGUGGAGUACUCACACAGUUCUACGGCGGAGAACUGUUGUUCGCGCGCCGUCUGUAUGCAACACCGACCUAGUGACAGUCUUCAUUCAGUGGGUUGAUGUUCUUACCUCAACAGGAUAGGCUACGAAGUUUGAUGCCUGGCUACAGUCGUAACUACACGUUACUGAGUGAUCU